AUUGAACGCUGGCGGCAUGCUUUACACAUGCAAGUCGAACGGUAACAGGGUGCUUGCACCGCUGACGAGUGGCGAACGGGUGAGUAAUGCGUCGGAACGUGCCGAGUAGUGGGGGAUAACGCAGCGAAAGUUGUGCUAAUACCGCAUACGUACUGAGGUAGAAAGUGGGGGACCUUCGGGCCUCACGCUAUUCGAGCGGCCGACGUCUGAUUAGCUAGUAGGUGAGGUAAAGGCUCACCUAGGCGACGAUCAGUAGCGGGUCUGAGAGGAUGAUCCGCCACACUGGGACUGAGACACGGCCCAGACUCCUACGGGAGGCAGCAGUGGGGAAUUUUGGACAAUGGGCGAAAGCCUGAUCCAGCCAUGCCGCGUGUCUGAAGAAGGCCUUCGGGUUGUAAAGGACUUUUGUCAGGGAGGAAAUCCCUAGUGCUAAUAACACUGGGGGAUGACAGUACCUGAAGAAUAAGCACCGGCUAACUACGUGCCAGCAGCAGCCGCGG
rnacentral:rRNA from 1 species